ensembl:lncRNA
GUCGCUCAGUUUUUGCACUUGUGCUUGUGUUGCUUGCGCUCUCAACAUUUCUGCCUGUGCACGCUCAACUCUUUCUGUACACCGUUAUAUUUGUGCCACAAAACCAGCCAAUCACAGACUUGGAUGCAAAAAAAAUCUGAUUGCCUGUUUUUUUUUUUUGUUGUUGUUUUUUUGCAAUGUGUGGCAGGAUGAAUGUUAUCCCGCGGUCCAACCCACUUUCAGCCUGGCCCAUUAGGGGGCGCUAGUAUAAAUAGUGGCCAUUUGAGUGUCUCUGCAUCGCUUGCCUGUGAUCUCCUUUUUGGUCACCUGACUUCCUCGGUGUGGUAGAGAUCGUUUGUGGGUUACUCCUCUGAAGCCCCCAUCGCGGCUGGUCGUAGCUAUAGAAGCCUCCUCUGAGCUAUUCUGCUUACGUUCUGUGACCCGGCUUACUUGGAAGUGUGGACCUUAGUUUUGCGCCAAGCUACGCGAACUGAAGUGCUGCUGUUUUGCCUUGCUGUGCUUUUACCGUCUGUUCCCGUUGUGAGAAUUCUUCCCUGCUGCUGUCAGCUUUUACAGUGGACGUCGGCGUGGACAACGGCCAUAUGCAUGCCGGUUAUCGGAGUCAGCUGGCGUGCAUAUUGAUUGACUGUUAACUUAUCGUCGUGUGGACGGCAAGUUGGAGCAAUGCGGAGUGCCGACGUGGAGGAGACUAGGGUGCCUUGGUGGUGGGAUCCCUUGAGUGUACACACCUGCCUUGUUUAGUUUAUUAGUGUGAGUGUGUGUGUGAUAGUGUGCUGCACUUGUGUUUUGGGUGUGUUUUCUUUCUUUAGUUUGUGUGUGGCAUCCCUGCCCCUCCACUGGUAAGCCUCAGCUCUGAAUACCUUUUUAAGCAUAUUUGAAUAUUUAUGAUUGUGCUUUUAUAUGGUGUUUUAAAUAAUUAUUAAUAAAUUGUGAAUUUGUUGAUCAUUGAACCUCGUCUCUGGACUGAGUAUAGCGAACCUAAGUGCCUUUCUGGUGAUUUAGUGUUACUUUCAGUAUUCUCUGGGUGAAAUUCCCAGGGUGGCGUUGUCGUUCUUUAAAACUGAAGAGUAUUUACUUUAUAUCCCAACCUCGUCUCGCCACAAAUGCAUUUAUUGAAUAACAAAAACACGGCACAGUGCAGACGUCACAAACAGACAAGUGCAGAUGACAUAAAGGAGCACAAAAAAGGACAAAUCUGAUUGCCUGUUCUGGUCUGCAAUCAGCUCGAAAUGACGAAAUGCAAUAUCCCAGAAUCCAUUUCGUCCAAAAACUCAAAUGAGGCAGUGGCGGAGGAACACAGAGUGGCGGAGUUUGAAAUAUUACUCUUUCUGGGUCACAAAAUAAACUUUUUUCUUUUUACUUUUGUAAAGUAACCUAAAAUUAUUAUUGCCUCAAAGGGAUUUAGUAUUUUGCAAGAUUGUUAUUUACAUACUUAUUUGUAUAACACUUUUAACAAAAUACUCGUGUUACCUUGUUUUGUCUAAUUCAUACUGGCUGCAAGAUUUACCCACGGUGGUACCACAGGGGCUGUGCCAAGAAGCCCCGCAAGACCAAAAAAAACCCCAUUUGUUUGUGAAGUAUGCUGGUCAGAAAGUUAGGGUCGCUGUCAAUUUUUCAAUGUUUUUGAAAUGUUUCUUGUUUUGUAUCGUUGUCUCCUAUAAUAUUUAUUGGUUGUUUAUUUGUUUAUUAAUUCAUUAAUUUAUGUUCGUGUUGCUGUGUGUGUUUCUGUGUUGUUCACAACAUUAGAGUUCAGCUUUGAUUGCAAUUUGUUUGUAGGAUUAUUCAAUUAUUUUGUGUUUCCUAACAUGUUAGCAUAGUUACUGUAUGCAAAGAAUUAAUAUAUAUGUUGUUCCAUGGUUUACUGGUGUUGAGCUUCCGCUGUACCCCCUGUUUCUGGUCUAUUUGUUAGUUUAUUUUAACUGGUGGUUUCUUCUUUAAUUGGAUGUAAUUGUUAUUUGUUUUUGGUUUUCGUUUCAAUUAAUAAGUGCUGUAUUGGAAUGACAUUUUUAUUACCGUUGUUUUGUCUUUCCUAUUACUUGGUGUUCCUAAUCCUUUUUUUUUUGUAUUAUUUUUGAAUUACAACAUUUUUGAAAUUUGACUUUUUAUGCACAGGUUGAAAAUGACAUAUUAUCGGUAUUAAUGUUCUUUUAAAAGUUAUUCAGCAGUUCUUGGAGAGUGUUUGGGAUAUAAUAUGUCACAUGUAACCCUUCUGGAUGAUAUCCAACAAGUUUGAAGCAGAAAUAUUGUUUCAGUGACAAGUUAUAGUCCACAAUCACUUUUUGGCAGUUUUAUUGUUCCCUUAAUGGUAAUUUAGCAGUUCUGAGGGACUGUUUGAGAUGUAAUAUUUGACAUAUGACUGUUAUGGCCCUGGCCAUAAUCUGUUUUGGUGGUUGUUUUGGUGGUUGUUUUCUUUGUCUGUGCCUUUAAGUCUUUGCAGGUCCCUGAGUGGAUGAGCAGACGGCUGCCGAUUGGUCUGCCGAUCAUGGGUCGCAUUCAAAAUCCCUCACCAGCAGUUGUCCUGGGGCAGCCACUGACAGGAGCAGCAGCAGACCUGACCCUGGCCCUGGCCUCCAAAACCUGAGACAUUUGUGCGACCUUCUGAGUUCUGUAUAUAGUGUGUACAUUAGUUUUCAUUGUAAAUAGCACAUUGUAAAUAGCACUGGAACAGAAGGGGUGAGCUGCCUUAUUGUUUUCCUUGCACUGUUUUCUCCUGUUUAUUUCAGUUAGGGAGUGUAGCGCUUGUCUUUUGUUUGAUGUUUGAUUUCACAUAGGGUUUAGAUAGCACCUCCUCCUGACUUAGCUUGUUUUGUUUGUUAUUUUGGCCUUUGUUCACCCCGGAGCUUCAUUUUUGCAGUGUAGAAAAAUAAACCACCAUUCACUAAGAGAUUGGUUUUCCCUCUGUGUAUGGUUUUGGGGACCAGGGCGGGGCAAUUUUCCAAACCUAUGUUGCAUCCCUGUACCCCUAGACUGGGGCGUAACAAUGACCCUUCUGAAUGACAUGCACCAAGUUUGAAGCAGAAAUAGUAUUUCAGUGACAAGUUAUAGUUCACAGUCACUUUUUGGCAAGUCGAAAAUGGC